ACCGAGAUGGCUCAGUUGGGAGAGCGUUAGACUAUAGAUCGCAGAGUUCUUGGUUUGAUCACGGGUUCCGGCA
rnacentral:tRNA from 1 species